rnacentral:rRNA from 1 species
UUCCGGUUGAUCCUGCCGGAGGUCACUGCUAUUGGGAUUCGACUAAGCCAUGCGAGUCGAGAGGGUUCGGCCCUCGGCUGACGGCUCAGUAACACGUGGAUAAUCUGCCCUUAGGUGGAGGAUACCCUCGGGAAACUGAGAAUAAUACUCCAUAGGUCUAGGAUGCUGGAAUGCAUCUAGACUGAAAACUCCGGUGCCUAAGGAUGAGUCUGCGGACUAUCAGGUUGUAGUCAGGGUAAAGACCUGACUAGCCUACGACGGAUACGGGUUGUGAGAGCAAUAACCCGGAGAUGAUAUCUGAGACACGAUAUCAGGCCCUACGGGGCGCAGCAGGCGCGAAAACUUCACACUGUGCGAAAGCACGAUGAGGGAAUCCCAAGUGCCAGCUCGUAAGAGUUGGCUGUUUUUCUGUUUAAAGUGCAGAGAGAGUAAGAGCUGGGUAAGACGGGUGCCAGCCGCCGCGGUAAUACCUGCAGCUCAAGUGGUGACCGUUAUUAUUGGGCCUAAAACGUUCGUAGCCGGUUUAGUAAAUGCCUGGGUAAAUCGUGUAGCUUAACUAUACGAAUUCUGGGUAGACUGCUAAACUUGAGACCGGGAGAGGCUAGAGGUACUCCUGGGGUAGAGGUGAAAUUCUGUAAUCCUGGGGGGACCACCAGUGGCGAAGGCGUCUAGCUAGAACGGGUCUGACGGUGAGGGACGAAGCCCUGGGGCGCAAACCGGAUUAGAUACCCGGGUAGUCCAGGGUGUAAACGCUGCUUGCUUGAUGUUAGUCGGGCUCCGAGCCCGAUUAGUGUUCGGAGAGAAGUUGUUAAGCAAGCUGCCUGGGAAGUACGGUCGCAAGACUGAAACUUUAAAGGAAUUGGCGGGGGAGCACAGCAACGGGGUGGAGCCGUGCGGUUUAAUUGGCAGUCAACGC